UGGGGAAUAUUGCGCAAUGGGGGAAACCCUGACGCAGCAACGCCGCGUGAAGGAUGAAGGUUUUCGGAUUGUAAACUUCUUUUUUAGGGGAAGAUAAUGACGGUACCCUAAGAAUAAGCCACGGCUAACUACGUGCCAGCAGCCGCGGUAAUACGUAGGUGGCAAGCGUUGUCCGGAUUUACUGGGUGUAAAGGGCGAGUAGGCGGGCCUGUAAGUCAGCAGUGAAAUACCACGGCUUAACUGUGGAACUGCUGUUGAAACUGCGGGUCUUGAGUGAUGGAGAGGCAGGCGGAAUUCCCGGUGUAGCGGUGAAAUGCGUAGAGAUCGGGAGGAACACCAGUGGCGAAGGCGGCCUGCUGGACAUUAACUGACGCUGAGGCGCGAAAGCGUGGGGAGCAAACA
rnacentral:rRNA from 1 species